UACGGAGGAUCCGAGCGUUAUCCGGAUUUAUUGGGUUUAAAGGGAGCGUAGGUGGAUUGUUAAGUCAGUUGUGAAAGUUUGCGGCUCAACCGUAAAAUUGCAGUUGAAACUGGCAGUUUUGAGUACAGUAGAGGUGGGCGGAAUUCGUGGUGUAGCGGUGAAAUGCUUAGAUAUCACGAAGAACUCCGAUUGCGAAGGCAGCUCACUGGACUGCAACUGACACUGAGGCUCGAAAGCGUGGGGAGCAAACAGG
rnacentral:rRNA from 1 species